UGGGGAAUCUUCCGCAAUGGACGAAAGUCUGACGGAGCAACGCCGCGUGAGUGAUGACGGUCUUCGGAUUGUAAAGCUCUGUUAAUCGGGACGAAUGGUUUGUGUGCAAAUAGUGCAUAGACAUGACGGUACCGGAAUAGAAAGCCACGGCUAACUACGUGCCAGCAGCCGCGGUAAUACGUAGGUGGCAAGCGUUGUCCGGAAUUAUUGGGCGUAAAGGGUACGUAGGCGGUCUAUUAAGUCAGGUGUGAAAGCGUGAGGCUUAACCUCAUUAAGCACUUGAAACUGAUAGACUUGAGUGAAGGAGAGGAAAGUGGAAUUCCUAGUGUAGCGGUGAAAUGCGUAGAUAUUAGGAGGAAUACCGGUGGCGAAGGCGACUUUCUGGACUUUUACUGACGCUCAGGUACGAAAGCGUGGGGAGCAAACAGG
rnacentral:rRNA from 1 species